rnacentral:tRNA from 1 species
AGGGGCGCAGUUCAAUUGGUAGAGCACCGCUCUCCAAAACCGAGUCUAGGGAGUUCGAGCUGCCUCGCCCCUGCCA